GUGCCUGAAAUUCGAAAUGUCAAAAAGAAAAACCAUCAGUCUUCUCUUGGGAGCGUUUAACAACAAAGAGAGUGAUUGGGUAACGAGGUUAUUUUCAACAGGAAAGAGAAAAUAGACAUGGAACUUUUACUGCCUAUCCUUUCAUUUUCUAUUUAAUCGCUGUUUUUUUUUAUUGCUUUUCAUGGUAGUCAACUCACAGUCUCUUCCAACGUAAAUAACUGCGCAGAGGUGAAAUGGGAGGUGCAAUCCGUUGCCGCCAACUAAAUAGGACUUCCCGUUCAUUCAUUCGCCAACGCUGCAGGGGCGUUCGAUACACGAAACAAAUGAAAUGGCGCAGUUUUUAGAAUGGGGAAAGCCGAAAAGAGACCAUAAAAAACAAAACAAAAAAGGAACAGUCAGGAAGGGGGAACCGUGCAAAAAGCCAUCCGGUAAAUUUGAGUUCUUUUGCUUUUGGCGACUUGCUAAAAAAGAAGAUGCGUACUAAAAAUCUGCAAAAUGCCGGCAGGCGUGAUAAAGAAAACCUUGAAUGGUUUGCCAGGUCUCAACCAACCUCUGGUUGGCAGCUGCUGCCAGUACAUUCUACAGGCAUAAAAUCUAAUCGAAAAAUCACGUCCAAUUGACGUGCGCAACCAAACGGUAUUUAAAUGGAGCCCUUGAGGGAUUCGAAGAAAACACGCAGGUGAAGGUGCACAUUACGGCCACGAUAGCUGAAUCAUGAAGACAAUCCCUAAUCAAAUUCUUUCCUCAAGAAUAAGUUGUGUGUACAAUUUAAAUUAAGGAAUGCAACGUGAAAUUUUGAUUAAAUCA